rnacentral:rRNA from 1 species
UACAGAGGUCUCAAGCGUUGUUCGGAUUCAUUGGGCGUAAAGGGUGCGUAGGUGGCGAGGUAAGUCGGAUGUGAAAUCUCAGGGCUCAACCCUGAAACUGCAUUCGAUACUGCCUUGCUCGAGGACUGGAGAGGAGAUUGGAAUUCACGGUGUAGCAGUGAAAUGCGUAGAUAUCAGGAAGAACACCCGUGGCGAAGGCGGCUCUCUGGGACGGUACUGACGCUGAGACGCGAAAGCGUGGGGAGCGAACAGG